CUACUUACCUGGCAGGGGAGAUACCAAGAUCACAAAGGUGGUUUUCCCAGGGUGAGCCUUCUUCAUUGCACUCAGGAUGUGCUGACCCCUGAGAUUUCCCAAAAUGUGGGAAACUCUACUGCAGAAUUUGUAGUAGUGAGGAACUGUGUUGUACUCUCUCCUGGG